AUCUAGAUAGCUUAAUAUAAAGCAAAGCACUGAAGAUGCUUAGAUGUUUACAACUCUAGGUA
rnacentral:tRNA from 1 species